UGGGGAAUAUUGGACAAUGGAGGAAACUCUGAUCCAGCAAUCCUGUGUGUGUGAAGAAGGUUUUAGGACUGUAAAACACUUUUAGUAGGGAAGAAAAAAAUGACGGUACCUACAGAAGAAGCAACGGCUAAAUACGUGCCAGCAGCCGCGGUAAUACGUAUGUUGCGAGCGUUAUCCGGAAUUAUUGGGCUUAAAGGGCAUCUAGGCGGUAAGACAAGUUGAAGGUGAAAACCUGUGGCUCAACCAUAGGCUUGCCUACAAAACUGUUGAACUAGAGUACUGGAAAGGUGGGUGGAACUACACGAGUAGAGGUGAAAUUCGUAGAUAUGUGUAGGAAUGCCGAUGAUGAAGAUAACUCACUGGACAGAAACUGACGCUGAAGUGCGAAAGCUAGGGGAGCAAACAGG
rnacentral:rRNA from 1 species